CCCUUAGAUGUUCUGGGCUGCACCCGUGCUACACUGGCAGGUUCAGCGAGCUUCAUGCCCUGAUCUGAAAGGAAUGGGAAAUCUUUUCAAAACCUGCCGUGCUUGGGAUAGAUGUUUGCAAUUAUUCAUCUUCAACGAGGAUUGCCUUGUAAGCGCACGUCAUCAGCGCGCAUUGAAUACGACCCUGUAUUCUGUACACACCGCCCGUCGCUCCUACCGAUUGAAGUUUUCGGUGAGUUGACAGGAGGAUUUUUUUGAAACUGGUUCGCCAGUGGAUUUUAGAUCCAAAUGCCAACGAAUCGAUGGCUUUAGAGGAAGGAGAAGUCGUAACA
rnacentral:rRNA from 1 species